AUUGGUCUUGCGGCCGUCGAGCGAGCGCGUCGUCGCCAAGCUUCUCGGAUAAUAUGGCUCAAGGCCGGAGACGCAACCACUGCUUUCUUCACUGCAAAGGCCUGCUCAAGGAGGAGAAAAAAUUUCAUUCACUCUAUGCGAUCUGAAGAUCAUGUGGCGAUCGAGCAUGACGAGAAGGCCGCCACCAUUUAUGAGCAUUUCAAUAAGAUCAUGGGAGCUGCUGAACCCAGAAAAUGCACCGUUAACUGGGAUGUGUUGAACCUGCCAACAAUCAGAGCUGAUGGUCUUGAUGCUCCUUUCACUGAAGCGGAAGUU
rnacentral:rRNA from 1 species